rnacentral:tmRNA from 1 species
UGGACAAUGAAAUAAACUCAUUGGACCCGGGGGCGGUACCCGGCGCCUCCACCAAAAUAUAAUCAAUAAAAAUUAUGUUUUGGUGGGGGCGAAAUAGGAUCGACGAGAGCGUAAAGAUUGCUUUUUUACCCGGCAUAGUACCACCGUUAUCGGACUAACUUAGUAGUUGCAAAUGACAACUAUGCGGAAGCACGUCACGCUGCGUAAUGCGGUGCGAAUGUUUCAAACUAAGUCUUAAAUCAUCGCAGA